rnacentral:lncRNA from 1 species
UAAUUUUAGGAAUCAAAAGAGAUAAAAAUAAAAAUAAAAGUUAAAAAAGCGAGGAUCUUGAAGCGGAUAUUUUCCUUUGAGAAUAUUUUCACAAACAAUAAUUAUGAUGUUUAAUGGUACGCUGACCACCGAUCAUUAUGUGAUUGGCAUGUUGUGAACUUGUGAUUAUGUAUAAGACAGACUAUGUCCUUUUCAGAAUAACGAGAGAGAG